GCCCGGCUAGCUCAAUUGGCAGAGCGUGGGACUGUGAGUUCCCUCCCGACUGACUGACUGAACUUCCAAGUGAAGCUUUUCCGAUAACCAUGACUAAUCUUGCCGGUCUAGUUUAAUCCCAAGGUUGUGAGUUCGAUCCUCACGUCGGGCG